ACGUGGGUUUGUUGUUUUGGGUUUUUUUUGUUUGUUUGUUUUGCUUUUUUCUUUUCGCAUCCUCCUCUAAUAACAAUGGAGUGGAGCAGCAGAGCUGCAGCGGCGGAUGGAAGGAGGAGGAGGACGCGAGUCCCCGGCACUGCAGAAGAGGCGGCAGGUUCACGCUCGCCGGCAGCAAGAAGAGCUGGAGCCAGAGCUGUCCCCUUCAAACUCCCCCCCCCCUCCCAGGGCCACGCAUCUCUUUCCCCCUCACGCAGCCCGGGCUCCCGUGAAACGACACUGCAGAGACCUGCCAGGAGGAUCAAAAAUCCAGGCUUUCUCUUGGUUACUUCUCUCCAGUUGAACUUGGAUUGCUGAAACCAGAGAGUUGGAAGUGAAGGAGAGGGGAAGGAGAGAUUCUGCAGCUCAGCUGAGCCAGUGUUGUCGGCAGGAGCCAGUGGGCCCCAGCAAGCAGAUUUCAGCUGUCCAGCACAGCUGACCCUGGUUUUCAAAGGCACUUGGAGUGGUUUUGAUGAGUUACAGACAAUUCCUGGUUCUGGCCCAGGGUCUUUCUAGCACCAGAAGCCACUGACAAAUGCUGUGCUCGGUACCGAUAGUGAACUUAACUUACAUGAGCAAUUCUCACUUUUGCCAGGAGAUCUGUUAAAUUUUACAGGAGCAGUUAUUUAUAUGGACAAAAUAAGGCCUCUACCCUCAAACUUAAUGUCAGAAGGAUGCAGCAACUCAGCACGUUGCAGAGGAACUGCAUGUACUGGUGGGCAGAGAGAGCUUACCUACCCUGCUGUUCUGAAACAAGUUCAUUUUCCCCCUUACUAGUUUGCAAGGCUUAGAAGCAUCAAUUAAAAUAAUAAUAAAAUGUGAUGUUAUGCUUGCAAAAUAAAA